rnacentral:rRNA from 1 species
CGGACGGGUGAGUAAUGUCUGGGAAACUGCCCGAUGGAGGGGGAUAACUACUGGAAACGGUAGCUAAUACCGCAUAAUGUCUGCGGACCAAAGCGGGGAACCUCCGGGCCUCGCGCCAUCAGAUGAACCCAUAUGGGAUUAGCUUGUAGGUAAGGUAACGGCUUACCUAGGCGACGAUCCCUAGCUGGUCUGAGAGGAUGAUCAGCCACACUGGGACUGAGACACGGCCCAG